AGAUACCCCUGUAGUCCCAGCCCUAAACGAUGCGCGUUAGGUGUAUCGGUGACCACGAGUCACCGAGGUGCCGAAGGGAAGCCGUGAAGCGAGCCACCUGGGAAGUACGGCCGCAAGGCUGAAACUUAAAGGAAUUGGCGGGGGAGCACAACAACGGGUGGAGCUUGCGGUUUAAUUGGAUUCAACGCCGGAAAUCUUACCGGGACCGACAGCAACAUGAAGGCCAAGCUGAAGACUUUGCCGGAUUUAGCUG
rnacentral:rRNA from 1 species